rnacentral:rRNA from 1 species
UGGGGAAUAUUGGACAAUGGGCGCAAGCCUGAUCCAGCCAUGCCGCGUGUGUGAAGAAGGCCUUUUGGUUGUAAAGCACUUUAAGCGAGGAGGAGGCUACUUGGAUUAAUACUCUAGGAUAGUGGACGUUACUCGCAGAAUAAGCACCGGCUAACUCUGUGCCAGCAGACGCGGUAAUACAGAGGGUGCGAGCGUUAAUCGGAUUUACUGGGCGUAAAGCGUGCGUAGGCGGCUUCUUAAGUCGGAUGUGAAAUCCCUGAGCUUAACUUAGGAAUUGCAUUCGAUACUGGGAAGCUAGAGUAUGGGAGAGGAUGGUAGAAUUCCAGGUGUAGCGGUGAAAUGCGUAGAGAUCUGGAGGAAUACCGAUGGCGAAGGCAGCCAUCUGGCCUAAUACUGACGCUGAGGUACGAAAGCAUGGGGAGCAAACAGG